GACGAACGCUGGCGGCGUGCUUAACACAUGCAAGUCGAACGGAAAGGCCCUGCCUUUGUGGGGUGCUCGAGUGGCGAACGUGUGAGUAACACGGGAGUAACCUGCCCUUGACUUUGGGAUAACUUCAGGAAACUGGGGCCAAUACCGGAUAGGAGCUCCUGCUGCAUGGGGGGGGAUGGAAAGUUUCUGCGGUUGGGGAUGGGCUCGAGGCUUGUCAGCUUGGUGGUGGGGUAGUGGCUGACCCAGGCUUUGACGGGUAGCCGGCCUGAGAGGGUAAGCGGACCGGCUGCAAUGGGGAUGCGACACAGACUAGAACGCGAGGGAGCGGAGGGGAAUAUUACACAAUGGGAGGGAGCCUGAUGCGGCAAAGCCGCGUGGCGGAAGACAACAAUCGGGUUGUAAAGCGAAUUCGCAUGUGAAGAAGAGUGAGUGACGGUACUGGGUUAAGAAGCACCGGCUAACUACGUG
rnacentral:rRNA from 1 species